rnacentral:rRNA from 1 species
GGGUUCGAUUCCGGAGAGGGAGCCUGAGAAACGGCUACCACAUCCAAGGAAGGCAGCAGGCGCGCAAAUUACCCAAUCCCGACACGGGGAGGUAGUGACAAUAAAUAACAACACAGGGCUCUUUUGGGUCUUGUUAUUGGAAUGAGUACGAUUUAAAUCUCCUAACGAGGAACAAUUGGAGGGCAAGUCUGGUGCCAGCAGCCGCGGUAAUUCCAGCUCCAAUAGCGUAUAUUAAAGUUGUUGCAGUUAAAAAGCUCGUAGUUGAAUUUCAGGCCUGGCUGGACGGUCCGCCCUUCGGGUGAGUACUGUCUGUGGUCGGGUCCUACCUUCUGGCGAAGCGUCAUGGCCUUAACCGGCCGUGGCGGGGAACCAGGACUUUUACUGUGAAAAAAUUAGAGUGUUCAAAGCAGGCAAUCGCUUGGAUACAUUAGCAUGGAAUAAUGGAAUAGGACAAUGGUUCUAUUUGUUGGUUUCUAGGACCGUUGUAAUGAUUAAUAGGGAUAGUUGGGGGCAUUAGUAUUCAAUUGUCAGAGGUGAAAUUCUUGGAUUUAUUGAAGACUAACUACUGCGAAAGCAUUUGCCAAGGAUGUUUUCAUUAAUCAAGAACGAAAGUUAGGGGAUCGAAGACGAUCAGAUACCGUCGUAGUCUUAACCAUAAACUAUGCCGACUAGGAAUCGGGCGAUG